CCCCCGCCGCCCUCCCCGCCCGGCGGCUCCCAGUCCCGGGGCGGCUCCCCGGCCGCGGAGGAGGCCCCCUGUUCCACGGGCCGUCGCCGCGAGGCGGCCGCCGGGCUGACAGCGGCGGCUCGGGGGGCCGCGGCUCCCCCCGCGGCGACGGCGGCGGCGGCGGUGUCCGGCCUCCCCGAGCGCGGAGGGGCCCGAGGCGGCGGGGUCGGGCCGGGCCCUCGCCCCCACCAUCCGCCUCUCCGGGGUUUUCCCUGUUCUCCCGCUCUGCGGGAGCCUGCCCGCAGGUUGCGCGGCCGCUUUGCACCGUCGGAGAAGGCGGCUCCGAGUUACCGGCUGCCCCCAACAGCCCUGUAGCGUCGGGGCUCUCGCCCCUUCACAGCCGCGCUGCGGGAGCAGCCCGUGGCCGCCGGUGCGGGCGCCUCGGGCACGCGUGCCCCGCGCCCGGGAGGCGAUGCCGUGGGGAGAGGAAACGCGCCUGAAAAAACCAACAGCGGUGCCUGAAAACAGGCCUUACCCGCUUGGAGAUCAGGUUAAAAAUGUCUUAGUUUUGCGGUGUCGCUGAAAGGCGAAGGCAGAUAUGUCUCAAAAGAUGGGGAAUGUCUUUGUGUGUUACUCCAGCAACCUGAUUGAAGCUAUUUCCUCUCUUGAAAACAAAUACUGUUCCAUAAGCUACCCUGACAUAGUCACUUAAACACAAAAUCUGUGUAAUUCAGUUACUUGGACAACUGUGCAGUUGGGCAACACGUGGCAUUUUGUUGGCAGGUCUGCAGUUUGACUAUUAAGUAGGCAUUAAGUUUUAAUUACGUUGGCCAGAUUCCAUUGUGGACAGCUUUAUUCUGCCCAUGUGAAAUUUUGGUUGUUUGCAUUUCGAUUAAUAGCGCUCAUGUAGCAUCUUUCUGCUGUGUCCUCUACUUCAGAAAUGUUAAUGCAUAUAAAUACCUCUUUUAUAAAUAGAGAAAAUGAUUCUUAGGCACUGAUUUAGCAAAUGUCUCAUUGCAAAUUGAUGGCUGAGAUGGCUGUAGAACAUACUUUUCUUGUUGACUUUUUUCCCCUUGAAUCGCUGAAUUCGAGCCUCGAGAUUCUCCUGAUGAAGGACAUCUGUUAAUCAAUAUUAACCGUUCUAGCAGUUCUUUCCUGCCUUGAUUUGGGCUCUGUUGAAAGGAAAAUGUGCAAAAGCUGCAUUGCUGAUUCCUGUGCUGUGUGCGUUUGGGAAUGAGUAUGGAAAGGAUUUUCAGAAGUGACAAUACAAUGUUUUUUCAGUAAAACAGAUUUUAAUCCA